rnacentral:rRNA from 1 species
UACGUAGGGGGCAAGCGUUGUCCGGAAUCAUUGGGCGUAAAGAGCGUGUAGGCGGCCCGGUCAGUCCGCCGUGAAAGUCCAGGGCUCAACCCUGGAAUGCCGGUGGAUACUGCCGGGCUGGAGUCCGGAAGAGGCGAGUGGAAUUCCUGGUGUAGCGGUGAAAUGCGCAGAUAUCAGGAGGAACACCAAUAGCGAAGGCAGCUCGCUGGGACGGUACUGACGCUAAGGCGCGAAAGCGUGGGGAGCGAACAGG